GGACCCACAUAGCAGUGAGGGGCCUGAAAAAAGAAAAAUUUCUACUUACCCCCUUGUAUUGUUUCUUUUUUGAACCCCCUGAGAAUUUCAAUUUGCACCCAUGACCCUGCUUACACCUCUCUCACACACUCACAGACUUACGCCCCUCACCCAGUCUUUCUCUCACUAGGUGUGUAGGUCUGGCCGUCAACAAGCACACGCAUGAGCAGUCGAGCACGGCGCACCACCAGCCACCAGUCCACCACCGUCGCGCGCCUCUCAAUCUCUGUAUCUCACGAGAAGGCCACUCUUAGUGCUCUGCGUUGCUAGUGUUGGGAAUCUGCACUCAAGGAGUCAAGAAAAGGGGCAUGAUGAAAUUGGGCACACCAAUUGUUUGAUGAAAGGCACCAGUGAAAUAUAGCUUUCUGGACAAUGAAGGGAUCUUUUUUUGUGGAAGAGUUGCCUGCCUGGUUAGCUGAGAGUGACAUAGAGAUCAAGGCCAUUACACAGCAAUGGCUGGAUAAACUGUUCAUGAUAAAAUAUGAAGGAGUUGCAGAGAGUUUUGGUAGAGAUUUUACUGCAAGAAACUACAAUAAUAUACUGUUUGUUGCAGAACAACUAAGACAUUUUGAUGAACAGAUGGAAACAUGGAGAAGAGAAUUUCAAAUGUUACAAGAUGAAGGAGAUGAAGAAGGUUUUGAAGAGUUAUAGAAGAGCAUACAAACUUCGCCACGGCGUGGCUAGCCUUAAAAGGAAACGUUUCAAACCCAGGAAGGGUCUAAACUCAGCAUUUUUUUUAUUUUUUUUUUUAUCAAAUAAACUCAGCAUUUGAAUUCAUUAAUACAUCCAAAACUUGGUUACACAAUGCUUUCCUUUCCUAGAAGUGUUAGUGUAAAUCAUUGAUGGAUAUUUGAAUAAAUAUGCUCACCUAUGAA